GUGCUCACUUUGGCAGCACAUAUACUAAAAUUGGAAUGAUACAGAGAUUAGCAUGGCCCCUGAACAAUGAUGACAUGCAAAUUCAUGAAGCGUUCCAUAUUUUU
ensembl:snRNA U6 U6 spliceosomal RNA